rnacentral:lncRNA from 1 species
CCUGGCGCAGCCACCCGAGGGAGAUCGGCGGGAGUUCGCCCGGCCGGGAGGAGGCGGCGAGGUCGUGCGAGGCUCUGAACUGCCCCAGAAGUUUGCUGGCAGAAACUGUUCCCUUUUAUUGGCAAAGUCUUCGGGCUCUCCUCAGAGGAAUACCCCGUUGCCUAAGAUGAGUGGCUGUAGGAAGCGGUGUAAGCGGGAAAUAAUGAAAUUUGCCCAGUACCUUCUCAGGCUAAUCACAGGUUCUCUUCACACAGGAAGUUUGUUUUAUUUGAUAAGGAAAAGAAAAUCUGAGGGUCAGCUGUGGCAGUAUUUCAGCCUUUCUGAUAUUUACUUGGUUAGCAGAUAAAGACCAACAGGAUUCAUCUCCUGGGAGCCUUUGAGUCUGGACUGAUUUCUGCUUUUAAUGAGCCAGGACACUUACUUCUCUGCAAGCAGUGUAAAGCCUGGCUGAAAGGCAUGAAUUCACCACAGGUUGUGUUUGGUUUUUUUGUUGGUUGUUUUUUUUUUUUUGUAAUUUGUUUUGUUUCUUGUUUUAUUUUCUUGACUGUCAUUUAAUUUUCAAAACUUUAAUUCAAUGCCCAGAAUGCUAGCCCAGUGUAAUGCACCAGGCUAGUGCUUGAAGCAGAUUUCACUACAAAAGGCACUCAAGACUGCUAAAGUAUUGAACAAAAAUCCCGUUUAUUGGUGCUAACAGUAGAAGGGAAAGGAGCAUAGUGUAGAUGUUCUUGCAGCCCUUUCAGAUGGACUGAUGAGCAAAAUUCACCACACCUUCAUGGUGAAGGUGUUCAUGCCUUAAGCGCUUGGAUGGAAUUUCUGUAGCAGGGAGCAAUUCCAUGCACCAUUGCUACUGGCAGCAGAUGUUCCCAUGAGAACUUGCUGCUUCUCACCUAGGUGAGCACAGGCACAGGCGGAUGGUGUAAUUCCUGGUGCCAGGUGGGAGCUGCCUGCAGGCUCCUGGAUGUGAUCAGCUGGCAGAGUGUGUGUGCUCUGGCCAGUGCCGGGUGUGGGAUGGAGCCGCCCUGCACCCUGCUCUGGUCACCCGCUGUCGUCGCCUUCUCCAUGGCACUGUUCUCCCGUUAGCAUGCCUACACUUGGAAGCACUAAAUCAUCUUACCUGCAGAACUUAGGAUCUUCUUUGUUUCCCUAAUUUAAAAAUACUAUCUUCAUUUUACAUGGGAAGUUGAUGGAGAAAAAUUAUGUGAGGACCCAUAGGCAGUGCAGCAGCGCUUGCCAUGAGUAACUAUUAGACUGUAAACUUAUGAAAAAAAGGUUGUUCUCAAUACAUUUUUCUUGUUGCCCUUAUCACAUCUUUCAUUUUACAUGUUAUUUCUUUACUUUCUACAGAUACUAUUUUCUGUCUUCUAGUUUCUUUUACAGUCAUUUUUUAAAUUGAACUUCCUGGCUUAGCAAAAGAGGAGAGGAGGGAGUGCACUUCGGGCUAUAUGAUGUUCCUCAGUGCAUGACAUUAAACUAGAAAUUAAUAAAAAAUAGGUUUCAGGCUUCCA